rnacentral:rRNA from 1 species
AACGAACGCUGGCGGCAGGCUUAACACAUGCAAGUCGAGCGCCUCGCAAGAGGUGCGGCAGACGGGUGAGUAACGCGUGGGAACGUACCCUUAUCUUCGGAAUAGCUCUGGGAAACUGGAAGUAAUACCGAAUGUGCCCUUAGGGGGGAAGAUUUAUCGGAUAAGGAUCGGCCCGCGUUGGAUUAGCUAGUGGGUGGGGUAAAGGCCUACCAAGGCGACGAUCCAUAGCUGGUCUGAGAGGAUGAUCAGCCACAUUGGGACUGAGACACGGCCCAAACUCCUACGGGAGGCAGCAGUGGGGAAUAUAGGACAAUGGGCGCAAGCCUGAUCCAGCCAUGCCGCGUGAGUGAGGAAGGCCGUAGGGUUGUAAAGCUCUUUCACCGGAGAAGAUAAUGACGGUAUCCGGAGAAGAAGCCCCGGCUAACUUCGUG